rnacentral:rRNA from 1 species
GAUGAACGCUAGCGACAGGCUUAACACAUGCAAGUCGAGGGGAAACGGCAUCGAAAGCUUGCUUUUGAUGGGCGUCGACCGGCGCACGGGUGAGUAACGCGUAUCCAACCUGCCCAUCACUUGGGAAUAACCUUGCGAAAGUAAGACUAAUGCCCAAUGACAUCCCACGAAGGCAUCCGAAUGGGAUUGAAGAUUUAUCGGUGAUGGAUGGGGAUGCGUCUGAUUAGCUUGUUGGCGGGGUGACGGCCCACCAAGGCAACGAUCAGUAGGGGUUCUGAGAGUAACGGGCCCCAGAUUGGAACCGGGACCCGGUCCACACUCAUACGGGCGGCAGCAGUGAGGGAUACUGGUGAAGGGGCGAGUGCCUGAACCAGCCAAGUAGCGUGCAGGAUCACGGCCCUAUGGGUGGUAAACUGCUUUUAGAAGGCAACAAAGUGCGUCACCGGUGACUUUUUGCCUGUACCUGAUGAAUAAGGACCGGCUAAUUCCGUG